rnacentral:rRNA from 1 species
AAAACUUUACAAUGCGGGAAACCGUGAUAAGGGGACACCGAGUGCUAGCAUCAUAUGCUGGCUGUCCAGGUGUGUAAAAUACACCUGUUAGCAAGGGCCGGGCAAGACCGGUGCCAGCCGCCGCGGUAACACCGGCGGCCCGAGUGGUGAUCGUGAUUAUUGGGUCUAAAGGGUCCGUAGCCGGUUUGGUCAGUCCUCCGGGAAAUCUGAUAGCUCAACUAUUAGGCUUUCGGGGGAUACUGCCAGACUUGGAACCGGGAGAGGUAAGAGGUACUACAGGGGUAGGAGUGAAAUCUUGUAAUCCCUGUGGGACCACCUGUGGCGAAGGCGUCUUACCAGAACGGGUUCGACGGUGAGGGACGAAAGCUGGGGGCACGAACCGGAUUAGAUACCCGGGUAGUCCCAGCCGUAAACGAUGCUCGCUAGGUGUCAGGCAUGGCGCGACCGUGUCUGGUGCCGCAGGGAAGCCGUGAAGCGAGCCACCUGGGAAGUACGGCCGCAAGGCUGAAACUUAAAGGAAUUGGCGGGGGAGCACAACAACGGGUGGAGCCUGCGGUUUAAUUGGACUCAACGCCGGACAACUCACCGGGGACGACAGCAAUAUGUAGGUCAGGCUGAAGACCUUACCUGAAUCGCUGAGAGGAGGUGCAUGGCCGUCGCCAGUUCGUACUGUGAAGCAUCCUGUUAAGUCAGGCAACGAGCGAGACCCGUGCCCACUGUUACCAGCAUAUCCUCCGGGAUGAUGGGUACUCUGUGGGGACCGCCGGUGUUAAAUCGGAGGAAGGUGCGGGCCACGGUAGGUCAGUAUGCCCCGAAUUUCCCGGGCUACACGCGGGCUACAAUGAAUGGGACAAUGGGUCCCUCCCCUGAAAAGGGCUGGUAAUCUCACAAACCCAUCCUUAGUUCGGAUCGAGGGCCGUAACUCGCCCUCGUGAAGCUGGAAUCCGUAGUAAUCGCGUUUCAAUAUAGCGCGGUGAAUACGUCCCUGCUCC